CGCGGCCUAUCAGCUUGUUGGUGAGGUAACGGCUCACCAAGGCAAUGACGGGUAGCUGGUCUGAGAGGACGAUCAGCCACACUGGAACUGAGAUACGGUCCAGACUCCUACGGGAGGCAGCAGGAGGGAAUCUUGCGCAAUGGGCGAAAGCCUGACGCAGCGACGCCGCGUGGGGGAUGAAUGCCUUAGGGUUGUAAACCCCUUUCACGAGGGAAGAAACUGACGGUACCUCGAGAAGAAGCCCCGGCCAACUACGUGCCAGCAGCCGCGGUAAUACGUAGGGGGCGAGCGUUGUCCGGAUUUAUUGGGCGUAAAGGGCUCGUAGGCGGCUUGGCAAGUCGGCCGUGAAAACCCAGGGCUCAACUCUGGGACGCCGGUCGAUACUGCCGUGGCUAGGGUCCGGUAGAGGGGAAUGGAAUUCCCGGUGUAGCGGUGAAAUGCGCAGAUAUCGGGAGGAACACCAGUAGCGAAGGCGGUUCCCUGGGCCGGCACCGACGCUGAGGAGCGAAAGCGUGGGGAGCAAACAGGAUUAGAUACCCUGGUAGUCCAUGCCGUAAACGUUGGGCACUAGGUGUGGGUCUCAACCAACGAGAUCCGCGCCGUCGCUAACGCAUUAAGUGCCCCGCCUGGGGAGUACGG
rnacentral:rRNA from 1 species